AAGCUGCCAGAUUUCUCAAGAGACUUAUCCGGCCGGCUACAGACCCUUUAGACCCAAUAAUAACGGUUACCACUCGAGCCGCCGGUGUUACCGCGGCGGCUGGCACCGGUCUUGCCCGGCCCUUGCUAUGAAAUGCUUUUUAGGCAUCUCGACAGCCAGAUUUGUAACCUGGCACUCGAGGUUCCCUUAUCGCUGUUGCCAGCAUUGUAAAGUUUUCGCGCCUGCUGCACCCCGUAGGGCCUGGAUUCGUGUCUCAGAAUCCAUCUCCGGGCUCUUGCUCUCACAACCCGUACCCGUCGUAGGCUAGUAGGUACGCUACACCCACUACUACCUGAUAGGCCGCAGACCCAUCCUUAGGCGCCGGAGCUUUAAAUCUCGAUGCAUUCCAGCAAUCGAGACCUAUCGGGUAUUAUACCCAGUUUCCCGGGUUUAUACCCAACCUAAAGGCAGGUUGUCCACGUGUUACUGAGCAGUUCGCCAUGUAUUGCUACAUUCGACU
rnacentral:rRNA from 1 species